rnacentral:rRNA from 1 species
UACCAGAGCCAUAUCGCCCUGAAGUUCUCGACUGAAGCUAAGCAGGGUUGAGCCUGGACAGUACCUGGAUGGGACACCUGCUGGGGAAAACCAAGAUUGCUGAUAU